rnacentral:lncRNA from 1 species
UCUGCAGAGGGGUGUUGGGCUCUGUAACUUUGCCCUGAAUGCCUUGGAAAGGCCACUCAAAAUUAUAUUCUCUAGCAUUUAUUGAAAAGCAAACCAUACCUUACCCAGUGCAUGGGCUGCAAGAUAAACUAGGUAUGCCUGGUAUUUUAUGCCCACUUUAGUGACCUGUAGGAUAGCAGCAGUACCAGUGCAGACAGGUUUUGCACAGCAUUAUUCAUGACCCUGCACAGAAGGCACAGGCGUGCAGCUGAAUUAAUAAAUCCAGCCUGAUGGCAAUCAGUACUGCAUCUAUGUCAUUAUCUGCUGCCCUGACAUUAUCUGCCCUCUCCGCUCUGUGCAUGAUUACAGUGCCAGGCUCACAUUUGGGUGAUCCUCAAGGCUUGAAAUGCAACCCUUUUCUCUUUUCGGGCAGGAUGGCGGACUUGCAGAUUCUGGGUCCUUACGGGCUACACACAUUGGGUCUGUGGAUGGCAGAUGAUCUCUGCACUGUCUCUGUGAAUAUCACCUGGGAGAGCAGGAACCCUGCAAGAUCGCACCAGGUUCCUGUAUGUUUUGUGGCCAGCACAUUAUCCGGGUUACAGUCUGAGCUCAGAUGCAUUUGGAUUGUGCAGAGGGUGUUUGUAACUUGUGACGUGAAGCUGUGCCUCAGCUUGAACAGGUCCAGGCUAUGCCCUUCAGGGUGCAGGUCCUUCAAAAGCAACGAUUCGCCAUGGAAGAUACUAGAAACAAAGAUCCAUCGGAUCACCGCUGGGCCAAUCCAGAUCACCAAGGCUCCUUCCAGCGGUACCAACUACACUGCCUUAGUGGUUGGGAUAGUGCUGGGCUGCACAGUGGUGUGUGUUGUCUUUCUGCUGUUGAAGAAGUCCUUUGUGGGGGUGCCAUACAGGAAUGUAUCCCUAAGAAUUUGAGACUAUCACUGCAAAGGGCAUUUAAGGAAGUCAGAUGGCUGGGAAGAUUACUGCACUUGAACUUGAAGGACACAACUGAAAAUUCCGAGAGAGCAACAUCAACAUUUGUGGGAAUCAGAUGCUGAGCAGAUUGCUUAUGGCAACAUUUCUGAGUUUGGUACAGGUUCCCCUGGUGGCACGAAGCCCACAAUCAAGUGGUGGAUGGGUGGUUUAAAUUCUAGAAUCCCCUAUGACACCGAUUAAAAAAAAGAAUAUGGAAAACACCACAUACUUGUGACUUUUAGAUGUGAUUUGCUUAAGGACUUGUCUUCACUGCAACAGAUAGCU